rnacentral:rRNA from 1 species
GACGAACGCUGGCGGCGUGCCUAAUACAUGCAAGUCGAACGCUGAAGGAGGAGCUUGCUUCUCUGGAUGAGUUGCGAACGGGUGAGUAACGCGUAGGUAACCUGCCUGGUAGCGGGGGAUAACUAUUGGAAACGAUAGCUAAUACCGCAUAAGAGUAGAUGUUGCAUGACAUUUGCUUAAAAGGUGCAAUUGCAUCACUACCAGAUGGACCUGCGUUGUAUUAGCUAGUUGGUGGGGUAACGGCUCACCAAGGCGACGAUACAUAGCCGACCUGAGAGGGUGAUCGGCACCACUGGGACUGAGACACGGCCCAGAAUCCUACGGGAGGCAGCAGUAGGGAAUCUUCGGCAAUGGACGGAAGUCUGACUGAGCAACGCCGCGUGAGUGAAGAAGGGUUUCGGAUCGUAAAGCUCUGUUGUAAGAGAAGAACGAGUGUGAGAGUGGAAAGUUCACACUGUGACGGUAUCUUACCAGAAAGGGACGGCUAACUCCGUG